CAACCUUUGACGCCUGAUUUAUUUACGAGAAGGGGACCACACAGUCACCGUUCAUGUCGCUUUGUUGUGAAGGUGUACGUAGGAGGAAAGAGUAAAAAAUUGUUUUUAGAACAUUGAAACUGGCCUGCUACUGAACCUGAAUGAAGCAUCACAUCAAUAUAUAGGUUGUGCACAGUCCAGAAGAAAAAGUUACUUCCUCUCUGUGCAGGUGUUUGUGCAAUACUUCAUGCUUAGCUACAAAGAUGAACAAAAGUUAUGAGCUGCUAAAAAGGGAUUUGCUGUUGAAAGUUAGAGUUUGGACUUUUUGCUGUCAGGUGAGAAAGUCUGGUUGCCCAGGAAACCUGGUGAAUGCUGUGUACACACUGGUGGAGAUAGUCCUGAUCUAGUUGUUCUGGCAUGUAUGUGAGCAGUCAGUUAUGCAAAUGAGGCAUUCCAAGAAUAAGUGAUUAAUUUGGCAGCAUUCGUAUGAUGAGUCUCAGUGAGGGAAAGCUGACAUCAUAAUGUUGGAAAUGCUUUAUUUAAUCAUGAUGAAUCUUGGGUAAGUAUUUUCUAGUUUACUAACUUAAAUGCAUUACGAAAGUAAUACGAUGUUACAGAAAAGUUCAUCUGUGCAAAGCUAAAGGUAAUCUGUGCAAAGCUUUAGCUCAUUCUCUGUAAUGUAAGUUGUUAACAAGGCUGGAAGAGUUUUAUCUGCAUUUCUGAAAAGAGACAAAUUCUACCACUUUUUCAUAUAGCAUAAAGGAAGAUGAAUUGUUAACCACCAGUGAAGUUUGACAGAUAAAUAUCCUCUUAAAAGUGAAAAAAUAGCACUGAUGGUAUCUUCUUUCUCUUCACAGCUACACACUGUCUAUAGUUGUGCUUUAUUCAUUUGUUUUUAUUACAGUGUGGAUGUGCUUUACCUAUAUACUGUACAACCAUGCUACAUCUUGAUUUAAAACUGUGUAUCAUUAUUUCUUUUCAUCUGGGGUUUGAUAUUCUUAAUAUUGCCAUAUUACCAUGGAAUAUGGUUUGAGAGGAAGGAUGAAAGCUGUUUUAUGAAAAUCUCUAGUCUCAAAAUAAUCUCUGGAGUGCAGACUGACAUCUCAUUGCCAUCCCUUUGUGUCCUAACAGCUACUAGCAAUUUCAGAUUAAAGUUCAAUUCAAAACCUGGUCACUAAAAUAAAGAGUUAACAUUUUGUUGAAAAUUUAGUCA
rnacentral:lncRNA from 1 species